AUUGAACGCUGGCGGCAGGCCUAACACAUGCAAGUCGAACGAGUGGCGGACGGGUGAGUAAUGUCUGGGAAACUGCCUGAUGGAGGGGGAUAACUACUGGAAACGGUAGCAAAUACCGCAUACCAUCAGAUGUGCCCAGAGGGGAUUAGCUAGUUGGUGGGGUAACGGCUCACCAAGACGACGAUGCCUAGCUGGUCUGAGAGGAUGACCAGCCACACUGGGACUGAGACACGGCCCAGACUCCUACGGGAGGCAGCAGUGGGGAAUAUUGCGCAAUGGGCGCAAGCCUGAUGCAGCCAUGCCGCUGGAAUGAAGAAGGCCUUCGGGUUGUAAAGUACUUUCAGCGGGGAGGCGUUACCCGCAGAAGAAGCACCGGCUAACUCCGUGCCAGCAGCCGCGGUAAUAC
rnacentral:rRNA from 1 species